UACGUAGGGUGCGGGCGUUAAUCGGAAUUACUGGGCGUAAAGUGUGCGCAGGCGGCCGCGCAAGUCGAGUGUGAAAGCCCCGAGCUUAACUUGGGAAUUGCGCUCGAAACUACGUGGCUGGAGUGUGGCAGAGGAAGGUGGAAUUCCACGUGUAGCGGUGAAAUGCGUAGAGAUGUGGAGGAACACCAAUGGCGAAGGCAGCCUUCUGGGCCAACACUGACGCUCAUGCACGAAAGCGUGGGGAGCAAACAGG
rnacentral:rRNA from 1 species